UACGUAGGUGACAAGCGUUGUCCGGAUUUACUGGGCGUAAAGAGCGCGCAGGCGGUCGAUCAAGUCGAGUGUGAAAGCCCCCGGCUCAACUGGGGAGGGUCAUUCGAUACUGAUCGACUCGAAGGCAGGAGAGGGAUGCGGAAUUCCAGGUGUAGCGGUGAAAUGCGUAGAUAUCUGGAGGAACACCGGUGGCGAAGGCGGCAUCCUGGACCAAUUCUGACGCUGAGGAGCGAAAGCCAGGGGAGCAAACGGG
rnacentral:rRNA from 1 species